CAGUCGCCGCGGUAAUACGAGGGGGGCAAGCGUUGUUCGGAAUUAUUGGGCGUAAUGGGUGCGUAGGCGGUUUCGUAAGUCUUAUGUGAAAUCUAUGGGCUCAACCCAUAGUCUGCAUGGGAAACUGCGAGGCUUGAGGAUGGGAGAGGUGAGUGGAAUUUCCGGUGUAGCGGUGAAAUGCGUAGAUAUCGGAAGGAACACCUGUGGCGAAAGCGGCUCACUGGACCAUCUCUGACGCUGAUGCACGAAAGCUAGGGGAGCAAACAGGAUUAGAUACCCCAGUAGUCCCUGUCUCUUAUAC
rnacentral:rRNA from 1 species